rnacentral:rRNA from 1 species
AAGCUCGUAGUUGAAUUUCGGGAUUAGUACGUCGGUCGUGCCUUAGGUACGUACUGGUGUUACUGGUUUCUACCUUCUGACGAACCAUCAUGUCAUUAAUUUGGUGUGGUGGGGAGUCAGGACUGUUACUUUGAAAAAAUUAGAGUGUUUAAAGCAGGUUCGCGCUUGAAUACAUUAGCAUGGAAUAAUGAAAUAGGACGUUGAUCCUAUUUUGUUGGUUUCUAGGAUUGACGUAAUGAUUAAUAGGGAUAGUUGGG